ACUCUUCACCACAUCGGCGCUGGUGAACUUCGGAAGACAACUCAGGCUCGUCGAAAACACUCUAGCUGCCAUUUCUCCGCCAACAAAGCUCACACCGGAACUGGGUUUACGCUUCGUUGACGUGUUUCCGGUUUUUGCGUAAAUGGUCUAUUGGCUGGUAGCGUGUUACUCCCUACGUUGCUAGGUUACCCGAGAGUGAGUGCCUUUGUUCAUGCAACCAAACUUGCUUUGCAACCUCUGGUUUCUUCCGACGAAGAAAUAAAAAAUAAACAUUGAACGUUUUAUCGAACGCAUUUUUUAUUGAUAUUGAUUACAUGUCUAUCGCGAUACAUAUUGUUAAUGUUUUAUCGCCCAGCCCUAUUAUGUAAAGUAUCUGAGUAUCUUAAUAGUGUAGGUUGAAGCCUCCUAACAACUUGAAUGCUUUUGGAGGACUGUUGGGCAUAUACACACUAUAUUCCUUUGUACAUAAAACCUUUUGGGAGUAAUUAAGCUCUUAAUUCUUCAUUUUUUUCAGGCCAUCUGAUGUUAAGAAUAUAUCUUAGGCAGUGGUUGAAGAAUUGUAGCUUGUUCAGGAGGUUCUUUGUUGUUUUCCACAUCUCAGAUCUUUAAAUGAGUAUGGUGUUAAUGCUUGAGUCGAAUAGCCGUAGUUUGGUCUUGAGUGUGAUGUUAUGUACUCUUCAUUUGGGCCCCAUCAUGCCAAAUGCAGCUCUUGCCUUGCCUAUUCUUGUGGUUAACCAUCAAGCUGGCCAGUGUCUUUUUGUUUGCACUUUGGUCGUUGUGCUAAUGUGGAGAUCUGUCUCAGCUGACUUCUGUUCUACCUCUCUCAAUUUCUCUUGCAUUUGUUGGUGUUUUUGGGACAGUAAUGUGAUAUAAUCUGCAAAGUCUAGGUCGUCUAGUUAUGUAAAUGGGGUCCAUUGGAUCCCAUUGGAUCCCAUUGCACCUGUUGUCAGUGGCUUGCCGCAUGAUCUAGUCUGCCGCAUGAUCUAGUCGGCCGCAUGAUCUAGUCGACCUUCGAAGAGGAAUGGUAAUCGAGAAAGUAGACAGCCUUGACUAACUCCUGUUGAGAUGUGAAAUGCCUCUGUCAGCUGGCCUUUAUGUUUUUAGUCAGGAUUAAUCCUGACUCCAACAAGUGCACUGCCAAGGAGCAGAUGAGCAAGACGACUGGGAGAGUGGUGAAGCAGAAGACUUCAUACAUGAACCCCCAUGUAAUCUCCUUCAUCAGGGACUUCACGGAGUUCUAUUUGCUAACUGACUAGAUACAGCAUUGGCAUUUGUGGCCUGAAGGUGUACAGAGCGCCCUCUGGCUGCAAGUAUGAAUUGAA